rnacentral:rRNA from 1 species
AUUGAACGCUGGCGGAAUGCUUUACACAUGCAAGUCGAACGGCAGCACGGACUUCGGUCUGGUGGCGAGUGGCGAACGGGUGAGUAAUGUAUCGGAACGUGCCCAGUCGUGGGGGAUAACGUAGUGAAAAUCACGCUAAUACCUCAUACGAUCUAUGGAUGAAAGCGGGGGAUCGCAAGACCUCGCGCGAUUGGAGCGGCCGCUAUCAGAUUAGGUAGUUGGUGGGGUAAAGGCCCACCAAGCCAACGAUCUGUAGCUGGUCUGAGAGGACGACCAUCAACAAUGGAACUGAGCCACGGUCGAGACUCCUACGUGGGGAAGCAGUGGGUUGUUUUUGACAAUGGGCGAAAGCCUGAUUCAGCCAUCCCUCGUGCAGGAUGAAGGCCUUCGGGUUGUAAUCUGGUUUCGUACAGGACGAAAAGUUUUCGACUAAUACUAGGAGCGCAUGACGGUACUGUAAGAAUAAGCACCCGCUAACUACGUGCCAUCACCCGCUGUAC